UGAAUCUCUGAACUUGAGACGAUAUGGU
rnacentral:sRNA from 1 species